CAGAGAUCAUGCCCCUCGUUGGGUAGACCUCCCACCCUGUGUUAUUUACGAUUGUUGCUUUGGCAGGCCGCCAGCAUGCUGGCGCUCGGCUUCGGCUGAGGUGCGCCUGCCAGAGGACCCCAAACUCUGAAUGUUAGUGUCGUCUGAGUACUAUACAAUAGUUA
rnacentral:misc_RNA from 1 species